GACUUGUCCAGAAGUAGUAGAUUAUGUAAAUGGAUUGUGCAUAAGCAGUUGCAGGUUAGUCUCCUUGCUCUUGUUUUCCCCUCUUCUCACUACUGCACUAGACUAGUGUUUU
ensembl:Y_RNA Y_RNA Y RNA